rnacentral:rRNA from 1 species
GUGCCAGCAGCCGCGGUAAUACGGAGGGUGCGAGCGUUAAUCGGAAUUACUGGGCGUAAAGCGCGCGUAGGCGGCUAAGUAAGCCGGUUGUGAAAGCCCCGGGCUCAACCUGGGAAUGGCAUCCGGAACUGUUUGGCUAGAGUGCAGGAGAGGAAGGUAGAAUUCCCGGUGUAGCGGUGAAAUGCGUAGAGAUCGGGAGGAAUACCAGUGGCGAAGGCGGCCUUCUGGACUGACACUGACGCUGAGGUGCGAAAGCAUGGGUAGCAAACAGGAUUAGAUACCCUGGUAGUCC